GGCCGGGAAAUCGGCAAUUAGAUGAGCCUAUGUUAGAUUAGCUAGUUGGUAGGGUAAAGGCCUACCAAGGCGAUGAUCUAUAGCUGGUCUGAGAGGAUGAUCAGCCACACUGGAACUGAGAUACGGUCCAGACUCCUACGGGAGGCAGCAGUGGGGAAUAUUGGACAAUGGGCGCAAGCCUGAUCCAGCUAUGCCGCGUGAGUGAGGAAGGCCCUAGGGUUGUAAAACUCUUUCAGUAGGGAAGAUAAUGACGGUACCUAUAA
rnacentral:rRNA from 1 species